rnacentral:rRNA from 1 species
UGGGGAAUUUUGGACAAUGGACGCAAGUCUGAUCCAGCCAUUCCGCGUGCAGGAUGAAGGCCCUCGGGUUGUAAACUGCUUUUGUACGGAACGAAAAGGUUUGUCUUAAUACGAUGAGCUCAUGACGGUACCGUAAGAAUAAGCACCGGCUAACUACGUGCCAGCAGCCGCGGUAAUACGUAGGGUGCAAGCGUUAAUCGGAAUUACUGGGCGUAAAGCGUGCGCAGGCGGUUAUGUAAGACAGAGGUGAAAUCCCCGGGCGUCAACCUGGGAACGUGCCUUUCGUUGACUGCAUAGCUAGAGUACGGUAGAGGGGAGUGAAUUCCGCGUGUAGCAGUGAAAUAGCGUAGAUAUGCGGAGGAACACCGAUGGCGGAAGGCAAUCCCCUCGGACCUGUACUGACGCUCAUGCACGAAAGACGUGGGGAGGCAAACAAGGAUUAGAUACCCU